GCCAUGUUAGAUUACAAGGUCACUGAACAUUUAUUUCUAGAUGAUUUGUAUACUAAAAUCUUAUACAUCUAAAUUUUGUGUUAUAUUAAGUGAUGAUGUUGUGUUAUAUUCAAAGAAGAAGAAGGAAGGGUUAGUUUGAUUUGAAGCAAAGAAACGAGACCGUACGGAUAUUUGUCGAAGAAUACAAAGACACUCGUUGGACCGACGAUGGGUACACUCAGGCCCAUCGUGGGACCUAUCUUCCUCUUCUCUCCGUUACUUCGCUAACGGCGCCGUUCUCUUUUCUCGAGCCUUUUCUUUCUUCUAUUCCCGUCCACAGGAAAAAAAAAAAGAAGAAGAAGGGAAAAUCCAAAACCUUUUCACAAAAUAUUUAAUAGCAGUUUCGAAAAAAAUGGUUUUCUGAUCAAAAUUUUUG